GGGGUGCUGGUCUAGUGGUAUGACGCUCCUUUAGCAACGCGGUGCCAGCCCGAGCGAGAGCCCCCCUCCUGAAAAGGAGCCGGUGAAUGGCAUCGUUGAGGCGCCGUCUGAAAAGUAGGAGAGGUGACAGGUUCGAUUCCUGUGUACUCCA
rnacentral:tRNA from 1 species